rnacentral:rRNA from 1 species
AGUCGAGCGGUAAGGCUCCUUCGGGAGUACACGAGCGGCGAACGGGUGAGUAACACGUGAGCAAUCUGCCCUUCUCAUCGGAAUAACCAUUGGAAACGAUGGCUAAUGCCGAAUAUGACCUCGGAUCACAUGUUCUGAGGUGGAAAGCUCCGGCGGAGAAGGAUGAGCUCGCGGCCUAUCAGCUUGUUGGUGAGGUAAUGGCUCACCAAGGCAUUGACGGGUAGCCGGCCUGAGAGGGUGACCGGCCACACUGGGACUGAGACACGGCCCAGACUCCUACGGGAGGCAGCAGUGGGGAAUAUUGGACAAUGGGCGAAAGCCUGAUCCAGCAACGCCGCGUGAGGGAUGACGGCCUUCGGGUUGUAAACCUCUUUCAGCAGGGACGAAGCGAAAGUGACGGUACCUGCAGAAGAAGGACCGGCCAACUACGUGCCAGCAGCCGCGGUAAUACGUAGGGUCCGAGCGUUGUCCGGAAUUAUUGGGCGUAAAGGGCUCGUAGGCGGUUUGUCGCGUCGGGAGUGAAAACUCAGGGCUCAACCCUGAGCGUGCUUCCGAUACGGGCAGACUAGAGGUAUGCAGGGGAGAACGGAAUUCCUGGUGUAGCGGUGGAAUGCGCAGAUAUCAGGAGGAACACCGGUGGCGAAGGCGGUUCUCUGGGCAUUACCUGACGCUGAGGAGCGAAAGCAUGGGGAGCGAACAGGAUUAGAUACCCUGGUAGUCCAUGCCGUAAACGUUGGGCGCUAGGUGUGGGGACCUUCCACGGUCUCCGUGCCGCAGCUAACGCAUUAAGCG